GACGAACGCUGGCGGCGUGCCUAAUACAUGCAAGUAGAACGCUGAAGCGAUGCUCUUGCUCUUCUUGGAUGUGUUGCGAACGGGUGUGUAACGCGUAUGUAACCUGCCUGGUAGCGGGGGAUCACUAUUGGACUCGAUAUCUAAUACCGCAUAAAAUUGAUUUUUGCAUGAUAAUUAAUUUAAAGUUGCUACUGCAUCACUACCUGAUGGACCUUCGUUGUAUUGGCUAGUUGGUGAGGUAACGGCUCACCAAGGCGACGAUACAUAGCCGACCUGAGAGGGGGAGCGGCCAAACUGGGAAGGAGACAGGGCACAGAGGCCUACGGGAGGGAGCAGGAGGGAAUCGUGGGCAAUGGGGGGAACCGAGAACGAGAAACGCCGAGGGAGGGAAGAAGGAUGUCGGAUCGGAAAGCACUGUUGUAAGAGAAGAACGGGUGUGAGAGUGGAAAGAUCACAGUGUGACGGUAACUGACCAGAAAGGGACGGCUAACUACGUG
rnacentral:rRNA from 1 species